AGUACAUUACGCUGAGUAAAACUGCAGUCACUUGCUUCGUUGUCAACCUUUGCAAAACUCUGCUCGGAGUGCCAUUUAAAAGCAAAUAAAGCUGUUUGCUGACCGAUUGAAGUAGGGAAAGCGCCAUCUUCCGUACAUAAUCCAAACAAGAUUUAGGGGCCUGGCACAAUGGGGCCCCCGACCUGGCUGAGGUCUCUG